rnacentral:rRNA from 1 species
GACGAACGUUGGCGGCGUGCCUAACACAUGCAAGUCAAGGGUAGCAAUACACUGGCGCACGGGUGAGUAACGCGUGGGUAAUCUGCCCAUAUCACAGACACAACAUCGAGAAAUCGGUGCUAAUAUCUGAUGAGGCGAGAAAUCGUCAAAGCUUCGGCGGAUAUGGAUGAGCCCGCGUCUGAUUAGCUAGUUGGUGGUGUAAACGGACCACCAAGGCGACGAUCAGUAGCUGGUCUGAGAGGACGAUCAGCCACACUGGAACUGAGACACGGUCCAGACUCCUACGGGAGGCAGCAGUGAGGAAUAUUGGUCAAUGGGCGCAAGCCUGAACCAGCGACGCCGCGUGAGGGAUGAAGGGGCUUUGCCCUGUAAACCUCUGUCGAGUGGGAAAAAUGGUCUCUCUUGGAGGCCGGGAUUGUACCACUGGAGGAAGCACCGGCUAACUACGUGCCAGCAGCCGCGGUAAU